rnacentral:rRNA from 1 species
UUGUAAAAACAAAGGCCAGUGAGCGUGCGUAAUACGACUCACUAUAGGGCGAAUUGGAGCUCCCGCGGUGCGGCCGCUCUAGAACUAGUGGAUCCCCCGGGCUGCAGCCCAAUGUGGAAUUCGCCCUUACUCCUACGGGAGGCAGCAGUGGGGAAUAUUGGACAAUGGACCGAGAGUCUGAUCCAGCAAUUCUGUGUGCACGAUGAAGUUUUUCGGAAUGUAAACUGCUGUUAUAAGGGAAGAAAAAAUAGAAUAGGAAAUGAUUUUAUCUUGACGGUACCUUAUUAGAAAGCGACGGCAAACUAUGUGCCAGCAGCUGCGGUAAUACAUAGGUCGCAAGCGUUAUCCGGAAUUAUUGGGCGUAAAGCGUCCGUAGGUUUUUUGCUAAGUCUGGAGUUAAAUGCUGAAGCUCAACUUCAGUCCGCUUUGGAUACUGGCAAAAUAGAAUUAUAAAGAGGUUAGCGGAAUUCCUAGUGAAGCGGUGGAAUGCGUAGAUAUUAGGAAGAACACCAAUAGGCGAAGGCAGCUAACUGGUUAUAUAUUGACACUAAGGGACGAAAGCGUGGGGAGCAAACAGG